AUCCAAAUCCAUUUUAUAACCAAAACACCCAUUUCAUAAACCAAGAUCUCACAAUUCUUAUUCUUUACAAUCACUUCAAUCAAGUUCAAACUAUAACCAUAACCUUACCAUUCAUUCAAACUUUCAAACCUUCAUUCAAUAUAUCCAAUUCCAUUCAAUACAAUUCAAUGAACAUUCAGUACAUAAUCCCAAGUCACAGUUACAUGUGGGAUCCUAUUACAUAAACCAUUUCAAUUCACAUGUUCAAAACCACUGGUCAAUUCCAAAGUUACAAACAAUUUCACACAUAUUACAUAAACCAUUCAAAUUCAUGGAGCUCUUUGUCCAUUCAAUCUCAUUUUUCCCAAAUUUCCUGUAAUUUGAUUCCAUACCAUAUUACAUAAACCAUUCAAAUUUUCACUCACUUUCNAA
rnacentral:lncRNA from 1 species